CAGUUUCCCCGUUCCAGUGGGGAGAGGAGACUGACCCCGGGGAGUCCCUGGAAAAAGCCUGGAGAGAGACACAGACCCUCGGGAAGUGUGUGGACAGCAUCCAAACCGGAGGCCAGAAAAGUGAUGACAUCUGAGCAACAAGAAGCAGGGGCUGAUCGUGUCCGUGGAAGAAUGAGGGGAUACUGCAGGGGAAUGAAGAGAAGAAGGUGACUGAAUCCAGGAGG
rnacentral:lncRNA from 1 species